GUUGACGAAGCUGCAUUGUGUAGCCAGCCGGUUUAUCUUUUUAUGUUGUAUAGUUUGUUAGUUUACCGUAAAUAUGUCUUGAUUUGUACUCAAGAGUGGAGCAAGGCCCUAUGGAACAGAGAUUGACGCAUCGUGAGCGAAGAACAGACGCGAUGGAUGGUUAGGCUGCUUGACUCUCGGCUGUACGACUCUCGGCAUGUUAGGACUGGCAAAGUUCCGAAUUUGUCGCGGUGUGGUGUACGCUUCUGUGCUCGUCAAGUGCCGUCAGAGCGCGGGGAUGUUUGAACGGAAUGUGUCCCUUCGUCUACAAAACUCUGCACGCUGCGGCAUCGAAGUCCUGUGUACGGGUGCACGUAUGCGCUUGGAUACGGGAUAGCCUGCCCUCAACGGAUGUUCAACAGUGUACGCACGCUGCGCGUACGCGUACGUAUGAGACUAGUUGCUGGUGUCCUGCUGGAGCUGAGAAGAGAUCUGCUGCCUGCCAUGAGGCCAUGUCUCUCAAGUUACCGCAAUAUUGUUGCCUUCAAACCUGUCGAGACAAGGUUUCUUUACAUGGCCAUGGCGCUCAAGGAAGAAACCGAGACUGUAGACUGCCAACGUUCAUUCCUGUUCCGGCAAAGACGGGCCAGCAGUAACCAGCAGGAUUUUACAAAGUGAACUCAUCACAGCUUGAGCCACUCCAUGCCACAAGCAGUUGCUCCUCGAGCCACCGUGCAAAGGUUCCUUGGGGCACAAGUCCAACUCAGCGCCACAACCUUUCUUCUGCAGUUUUUCUACCUACUUAGCUAACCAGCAAGUUUAUCCUUGCAAGGCAUGUGCGAACAGCUUUCACCAGGAAACAGUGCAAGACGAGUGGUCGAAGAAAAUAAAAUUGCUUCUGUGAUCUAAAGUACUUGAUGAAUAAAAUUUUGC